ACCCGCUGAACUUAAGCAUAUCAAUAAGCGGAGGAAAAGAAACCAACAGGGAUUGCCUCAGUAACGGCGAGUGAAGCGGCAACAGCUCAAAUUUGAAAUCUGGGGCCUUCGGCUUCCGAGUUUGUAAUUUGAAGAGGAUGCUUCGGUUGCGAUCCAGGCCUAAGUUCCUUGGAACAGGACGUCGUAGAGGGUGAGAAUCCCGUACACGGCUGUGGAUUUGCUUCCAUGUGUAGCUCCUUCGAAGAGUCGAGUUGUUUGGGAAUGCAGCUCAAAAUGGGUGGUAAAUUUCAUCUAAAGCUAAAUAUUGGCGGGAGACCGAUAGCGCACAAGUAGAGUGAUCGAAAGAUGAAAAGAACUUUGAAAAGAGAGUUAAACAGUACGUGAAAUUGUUGAAAGGGAAGCGCUUGCAUUCAGACCUCCCUUCGGUUGAUCAAGGUUCCUUCUGGUUCCUGCACUCUGCCGUUUGGGGGCCAGCAUCGGUUGGCGCGGCGGGACAAAGGUUUGGGGAAUGUGGCUCCCUCCGGGGAGUGUUAUAGCCCCUUUCGUAAUGCCGCCUGUGCCGACCGAGGUCCGCGCUUCUGCUAGGAUGCUGGCUUAAUGGUUGUAAGCGGCCCGUCUUGAAACACGG
rnacentral:rRNA from 1 species